rnacentral:rRNA from 1 species
GACGAACGCUGGCGGCGUGCCUAAUACAUGCAAGUUGAGCGCUGAAGGUUGGUACUUGUACCAACUGGAUGAGCAGCGAACGGGUGAGUAACGCGUGGGGAAUCUGCCUUUGAGCGGGGGACAACAUUUGGAAACGAAUGCUAAUACCGCAUAAAAACUUUAAACACAAGUUUUAAGUUUGAAAGAUGCAAUUGCAUCACUCAAAGAUGAUCCCGCGUUGUAUUAGCUAGUUGUUGAGGUAAAGGCUCACCAAGGCGAUGAUACAUAGCCGACCUGAGAGGGUGAUCGGCCACAUUGGGACUGAGACACGGCCCAAACUCCUACGGGAGGCAGCAGUAGGGAAUCUUCGGCAAUGGACGAAAGUCUGACCGAGCAACGCCGCGUGAGUGAAGAAGGUUUUCGGAUCGUAAAACUCUGUUGGUAGAGAAGAACGUUGGUGAGAGUGGAAAGCUCAUCAAGUGACGGUAACUACCCAGAAAGGGACGGCUAACUACGUG